GCGGAUGUGGCGGAAUCGGGAUACGCACCGGCCUCAAAAGCCGGCGGCCACUGGCCAUGAGGGUUCGACUCCCUCCGUCCGCA
rnacentral:tRNA from 1 species